CCGAAGUUACAAAGUUACACGUGAAGACUUGGCCAACAACUAGUCUGAUUGGUUGUGGGAGGGAACCAAUCAGAGAUGCUUUUCAUGUUUCUUCUGCUACCACAGUGUAAAGGGAGUAGCGUCUGAUCCCUUUGUUACUUGGAUGUGCAGAGUGGCUCUUGGAGAAAGGGGAAAAGUCUGUGCUCUUAGAAAGUGCUAAUGAAAUAGACAAGCCACAGCCUAACAGAUGGGUAAGCGUGCUGGAGGAUGAGCUUCACGUGGAUUUAGAGCUGUGAUUACACCCGCUCCUGGUUUCACCCCCAAUGACUCCCACAGUGUGCACCUGUAGAUGGUAAGCUCAGUUCUUUCAGCUGCACCACCAGAGACACCCUUGCUGACAGAAUAGCCCUUCCCCUUUGUGCAAGGUUUUUCUCUGUGCACAUUUUGAUUAUCUCCCCACCUCCCUCAUUUGAUUUUGGCUGUGCUUCUGUUAUAAUUAUUUUACAAGUGUGUGUACAAACAGUGUGCUACCUCUUCAAAAUUUUCUAAAUACCUUGGGAACUCAAAUUUUCGGAGGGAGCCUUCUCCAGCCACCUGUGGCUGCAAAACUGUGUGAUUCCUUGAAGACUGUCAGGUGUGGAGGGGUAAUUUAUCCUGCUUCCCUGCCGUUCUAGAAUGAUAGGAGGUUGUGAUUGCAGCAAAUUUGGAGAUCAUCUUUCAUAAGAAACCCAGAUAUAUUUUCUAGGCUUGGAUACUUUAUUGAUGCAGAUGCUGGAGUGUGGAGAAGACUCGAGCUCUCUUCAAGUUUACCAGGCCAACCCACCCUCAGCCAGUGUCAAAUUAGUCUGGGAAGAAAAUAUACAAGCAGAGGCUUCUGAUCAGAUUGUAGAGGGGAGGAGAACAGAGUCCGGAGCCAUGGGCUUGAGGUAAGUCUGUGUUAUCAGAGAAGAAAACCAAACUUCUGAGCUCAUCUUUUGCAUUUUCAUUGCACCACCUUCAGUCAAGCACUGAAGCCUACAAUUUUAUGAGGAGGAAAGGAGAGUUAAAUGAACUAUGGGAUAACAUAAAAAUUGCAAGUCAUAAGCACCAAAAGGCAUAGAAAAGGACUCUGAGACCCAGAAAACUACUUGACUAGAGCAGUCAGAUUCUAUUCAUGUAGAGUAUUGAUGGAAGCAGACUGUGUGUGUACAAGUAUAUUUGUUUUAUUUAGUUAGAUUAAAAGGUUUACUUCCAGUAUAUUAUCAUCAUAGCCAAGAAGAGUUAUGAUGUGCUAGUUUAGAAUGCAUUGAUACGUGCUCAGGUGCAGGAGGCACUGCUGGGACCAUUAUACUUUUGGGUGUAGGAGGGUGAACAGCAGUAUGUUCUGCACAGGCUUGCACCAGAACCGUUCAGCAGAAGCAGAGUGAUAAUAACUCCUAAUGUGCCAAUAUUGGAACAGAACAAGUUCAAUUUGAAAGGAAUUAAGUUAACGAUGUAUUGACUGAGAGAAAUAUUCAGUGUUAAUUGGAUGGCAUUCCGAAUGCGCCUGCUAUGCAAUACAGCUGUUUGUUAAAGGAGGGCUUUGGCCUAGAUUUGUCCUUGUUCUGCCUGAAAUUGCCAUGUGUUUUUACUGCAUAUUCCAAUGAAAGCCUAGGUAAGCUAAUGGAACCCACAUGUUAAAUUAUGUGCGUGUGUGUGUGUGCAUGUAAACAUAUAUAUGAGUUUGGUAUCAUUUUCCUCAGUAUGGCCGUGGCAAAGAAUAUGAUAAAAGGUGAUUUGGGAAGUCUAUAGAAAAUUUCUUGGGUACUUUAAUCUUGAGGAAAUGCAAAGGAAAAUAAAAUAUUGGCAGUAGAAAUGGCA
rnacentral:lncRNA from 13 species